rnacentral:rRNA from 1 species
GUGGGGAAUAUUGCACAAUGGGCGCAAGCCUGAUGCAGCGACGCCGCGUGGAGGAAGAAGGUUUUCGGAUUGUAAACUCCUGUUAAGCGGGAAAAAAUCACGACGGAUAAUACCCGAUCGUGGAUGAUGGUACCGCUAGAGAAAGUACCGGCAAACUUCGUGCCAGCAGCCGCGGUAAUACGAAGGGUACGAGCGUUAUUCGGAGUUACUGGGCGUAAAGAGCGUGUAGGCGGUUUGUUAAGUUAGUUGUUAAAUGCCCCGGCCUAACUGGGGAAAUGCAGCUAAAACUGGCGAUCUAGAGUUCAAGAGAGAGAGGUAGAAUUCCCGGAGUAGCGGUAAAAUGCGUAGAUCUCGGGAGGAAUACCGAUGGCGAAGGCAGCCUCUUGGCUUGUAACUGACGCUAAAGUGCGAAAGCGUGGGGAGCAAACAGGAUUAGAAACCCGAGUAGUCC